rnacentral:lncRNA from 9 species
UUUUUUUACAAUAAAUGGUAGGUAUUGCUCUAUCGUGAGAAUAUGCAAAAGAAUUAGGCUAGGCCAUGGUAUAUUACUCUAGGAAAAAAACCAAGGAAACUAAUUGGAUUAAUCUCUGUAAAUUUUAUAAUUUCUGUAAUUAAUUUCAAAUGGAAUUUAUUAAUCAGUUUUUCUCCUUUGAUUCUCCAGGGCUUUCUAUGGUAGCAUAUUUUUUCAGCAUUGAGUCAUGGAGACUGCAUUCUUGAAGUUCUGGCAGAGGCAAAUGUCUCGUUAAUGCUCAUCCGAGAGACAUCUGUAUGAGCCUGUAUGUCAGGUCUCUCUGCAGAGCUGAUCUGAAGCUGAUGAGCAUUUCUGAAGUUAGCUAGCCUGGGAAUAAAGACUCCACCAGGAUGAGUGUUCUGCUCAAUGACUGGAAAAUGUAGGUUGCUGAAUGAAGAAACAAGUACAAGAAGACUGUGAAGGAAGAAUCAAUUCCAACUCUAAAGAAACAAAAAAGCAAAGGAUUGUCAAAUUGGUGAAAGUGAAGGUAAAUUUAUUCUUGUUGAAUGUCUAAACAUUUGUAAUAUUCAAAACUCCAUUUUUGCAUGCUUUACUCAUUUUUUUUCUUUUAAGGCCACACUCGCAGCAUAUAGAAGUUCCCAGGCUAGUGGUCAAAUUGGAGCUGUAGCCUUUGGCCUGCACCAUAGUCACAGCAAUGUGUGAUCCAAGCCACGUCUGUGACCUACACCAUAGGUCAAUGCCAGAUCCUUAGCCCACUGAGCCGAGCCAGGGAUUGAACCCACAUCCUCAUGUAUACUAGUUGGAUUCAUUUCCACUAACCCAUAAUGGGAACUCUUUUUUUUUUUUUUCUUUCUUUCUUUCUUUCUUUCUUUUUUUUUUUUUUUUUUUAGCUUUACUCAUUUUUAAGAUCUGCGCAUGUGAGUCUAGCCAAUGGAGAAGUUGAAUGACCCCUCAUAAGAUGAUCUUAUGCUCCCCACAGGGCAGGGAGCAUGUGAUUUGUGGUUAGAUGGAGUCAGGUGAGUGUAUCUGGACAGUGAGCUAUGAAGGGAGGUGAUUUGGAUCAUUCUUCAGUGGUGACCAUGGGGAUUGUAUGUUGGCUUUAAGGAAUUACAAAAUGGUAGCAGCUCAGAUGGCCAAACCAUCAUGAGGAGUGCAGUUUCCAGGGAUGACCUGAUUUGCAAUGGACACAUGGCUCCAGUAUAUUGAAACUACAGUGGUGUUUUUAGGCAUAGCCUAUCCUGCCUAAUAAAGAUACCAGCAGUUGGAACUAUCAUCAGUAUGGCCAA